GGCUCAGUCGUGCGGCGCGGUGUGUCGGGUAGAGGCCUGGCAGGCCGGGUGGUGAUCACUCGGCUUUAUGGACUCUCACAGAAACACAGCCAGGACCUGUCAACGGUUAUCGCAGAAUGCAGAUAACGGAAAGCGCCUUUGUCGUCUGCUAGAACCCAACGAAGAUGAAAUUCAUCCUGAAGCAUUAAGCGUCCUUCACCUGACAGACACUGCGAUUUCUGCUCUUUUAUCCACAACGAGGCUGAGCUCUGCUUCCAUCUUCUUUCUCUGAGAUGUCGAAGUCCCGCAAUCUUUCCUCUGUGAGCAAGUACCGCACGGUGAGUGCGCAGAACACGCACUGCGCACAAGACCUGCGCAGUGAGAUUGCGAAAUUAGAACAUCAGCGCACCAAUCGACUGCGCGAGCUCAGCCAUCAGACCAAUCAGGUUCGCCGGCUGUCCACCGACGUCUCCGCCAUCGACAUCAACGGCCCGUCUGCCAGGCCUGUCAGAAGAGGGUCUUUGACAACAGGUUUGUCACCGUCCAACGCUCGAGCUGACCUCGCCCAGAGUGCCACGUCUGCGGAAUCUUCACCCACGAGAAAAAGAUCCGGCUACAGGUUCGAGCACGACGAAGAAAUCAGCAGCAAAAAAGAUUGAACAUGCGACACAACAGCAGCCAACCUUGCCUCCUGUCAAUCAUAAAAAGAAAGAAGUGGUUGGCAAAGACAACGUGGCCACGUCUAUGCCACAAAUCAUCAUCAGCGGUCAUGAUUCUGACCCGGAAGUGACACCUAAAGUCGAGGUCGAGGGCGGCAAGACGUCACUCGCAGGUCAGGGUCAUCGACGUGGCAGCUUGAUAUCGAAUGGUAGUGUUGGUUCUUUGAGCUCGGACUCAGAGUCCCUGAGUCAGUCCUCGGGCAACCUUCUCGAUCUCCGCUAUCAGCGCUCUCGCAGCAACUCCGUGCCUAUAGUUAUCCCCCUUCAGCAGCCUCCACGACCUAGCGCGGCGCGCGAGUUACUGCCCCGAGCCGCUGCGUGACCUCGACACGAUGACCUCCCCACGGUCUCGCAGUUCAAGCGUGUCCAUGUUCGUCGCACCCAAGCGGCGAGGGUCGCUCUCAGAGAGCAGAGACCUCACAGCGGAAAGGGAACCAGGCAAAUCCAGUAGGCGGCGCUCCGUUCAGCUCGACCGGAUGUUGCGCAACCUGACCUUUGGGCUGCGGUGUCGCGAACUGGACUACCCCGAGGAAAGGAAGGGUAUAGAUCCCAAGGACUGGGAGGAGCUGAAGAACUGCAGGUACCUUCGCGUUCCAGGCAGAGACGAUGCGCCGUUGAGCGAUGGAUUGAAUUACACAGGUUGACAUCCCCACCCUCCUCCUCCACAAAGAAAAGACUAUUCUUUGUAAAGAGAGAUAAUUACAUCUGCAUAAUUCACUCUUAUUCAUCGGUAUGAACCCUUGACAUUUGUUUUACACCCAAAAUGAACAGAUACGCUUCUUUCUCUUCUUCUGCUGGCAAUUUAAAAUGUGUCAUUAUUCAAUGAUUAUUCAGACUCAAACUAAAAGUGGCUUGACAUGUUGAUGACUAUGGCUUAUGUUCGAAUCCUUCGUGUAAAAAGUUUGUAAGUGAAAAAUUGAUGUAUAUAAUUAUAUAUAUUUUCAGAUCCCAGGUAAAUGAACGAGAGAGAGAGAGGCGUACUUACGCUGUUAUAAAUAAAUAAAUUCUCUCCCCUUGUCCUUACCCCAGUAGCCUGAUGACGCAGUGGCAAAGCUCUUGCCACCAAGACACAUUGAUAGUUUAUGUUCGAAUCUCGCCUUCGACAAACCUUGUUUUGUGGCGGAAUUGUUUACGAAGCCUAGCUUGCUGUGACAAGCACUGCAGUUGGCUCGUUGUGAUGUAGCACUGAAUGUUGGAUCGGUGUGAGAAACUACCAGUUCCUUUAAAUCUGCAAGUAAACAAAUACUACAUGGGGUGGACGUGAGAUAUACUACAAAAUGUAAUUAAUGUAAUUAAGAUUAGGUCAGCUUGAGUGCAAAUGUGAUCAGAACACCUGUGGACAAUAUGUAUAAAAAUGCAUCUGUUGAUAAAAAGGAAAAUAAAAGUAUUUGAAUCAGUGAA